rnacentral:rRNA from 1 species
GAUGAACGCUGGCGGCGUGCCUAAUACAUGCCAGUCGAGCGAACGGACGAGAAGCUUGCUUUUCUGAUGUUAGCGGCGGACGGGUGAGUAACACGUGGAUAACCUACCUAUAAGACUGGGAUAACUUCGGGAAACCGGAGCUAAUACCGGAUAAUAUUUUGAACCGCAUGGUCCAAAAGUGAAAGACGGUCUUGCUGUCACUUAUAGAUGGAUCCGCGCUGCAUUAGCUAGUUGGUAAGGUAACGGCUUACCAAGGCAACGAUGCAUAGCCGACCUGAGAGGGUGAUCGGCCACACUGGAACUGAGACACGGUCCAGACUCCGACGGGAGGCAGCAGUAGGGAAUCUUCCGCAAUGGGCGAAAGCCUGACGGAGCAACGCCGCGUGAGUGAUGAAGGUCUUCGGAUCGUAAAACUCUGUUAUUAGGGAAGAACAUAUGUGUAAGUAACUGUGCACAUCUUGACGGUACCUAAUCAGAAAGCCACGGCUAACUACGUG